UGGGGAAUCUUCCGCAAUGGACGAAAGUCUGACGGAGCAACGCCGCGUGAGUGAAGACGGCCUUCGGGUUGUAAAGCUCUGUGAUCCGGGACGAAAGAGCCUGAGGUGAAUAGCCUAAGGAAGUGACGGUACCGGAAAAGCAAGCCACGGCUAACUACGUGCCAGCAGCCGCGGUAAUACGUAUGGAGCGAGCGUUGUCCGGAAUUAUUGGGCGUAAAGGGUGCGCAGGCGGCUUUACAAGUUGGAUGUGAAAUAUUGUGGCUCAACCACAAACGUGCAUCCAAAACUGCAAAGCUUGAGUUAAGGAGAGGUAAGUGGAAUUCCUGGUGUAGCGGUGGAAUGCGUAGAUAUCAGGAGGAAUACCGGUGGCGAAGGCGACUUACUGGACUUAAACUGACGCUCAGGCACGAAAGCGUGGGGAGCAAACAGG
rnacentral:rRNA from 1 species